rnacentral:rRNA from 1 species
AUGGCAUCUUGGGUUGGAGCAUAUGUUCUUGGCAUUGGUGAAUGGAUCAUCAAGCGCAUGCCACUUGUGCGCCACAUCUACAAUGCAUCCAAGCAAAUUAGUGCUGCUAUAUCGCCAGAUCAAAACAAACAGGCAUUCAAGGAGGCAGUCAUCAUACGACAUCCUCGUAUUGGGGAAUAUGCAUUUGGAUUCAUUACCUCAUUAGUCUCGCUCCAGAGCUAUUUUGGUCAAGAGGACCUUUACUGUGUCUAUGUGCCGACCAACCAUCUCUACAUUGGUGAUAUCUUCAUAGUGAACUCGAAGGAUGUGAUAAGGCCUAAUCUUUCUGUGCGUGAAGGCAUUGGUAACUCCUAA